UUCUGGUAGGAUUAGUAUGUUCUUGUCCUUAGUUCCAUUAUUACAAGGGGUUGUGUUGAUUGUUGGUACUUUCAUAGUCUCGAUAUUUUAAGUGUAAGUGGUAGUUACUGUAACUUGCAGAUUUAAACAUUUCUCUCAAGUACUGAAAUAAAUGGGGAAAUGGAUCUAUGAAAACUGUAUGAAAUUCAGUGAAUUAAGUAGAAGGUGGUGUGUGGAGGGAAAAAAAAUCCAGCCAUAUAAAUAUAGGAUGGAGAAGGACAGGCUAGGUAUAAAUAAAGAGGGAAGAAAGCCACAAUCAUGGGUGACCACAAGCUGAAUAUGAGUCAGUAAAAAAGUCAACAUGAUGCUGAAAUAUUUUUAAAUGAAUAUGGCAUCCAAGGUCAUGGAUAUAGUUCUUUCUGUAUUCGUCGCAAAUAGCUUACUCCCUUUUGAGUAGUGUGUCCAGUUUGGCCGCUGUAUUUUAAUUUUUUUUUUUUGUUAUUGUGUUUCUUUAUUUUUGAGAGGCAGAGACAGAGCGCAAGUGGGGGAGGGGCAGAGAGAGGGGGAAACAGAAUCUGAAGCAGGUUCCAGGCUCUGAGCUGUCAGCACAGAGCCCGAUGCGGGGCUCGAACUCACGAACCGUAACACCAUGACCUGAGCCAAAGUCGGAUGCUCAACUGACUGAGCCACCCAGGCGCCCCAUUGGCCACUGUAUUUUAUUUAAAGAGAUGUGAGUUGUGGAGAAAUGUAAGAAUGAUCAAAGGAAAAAAGAGUUCACUUCUGUGUUUGGCAAAGUUAGUGAUUAGCGCAGAUGAUGGAGGUUCAAGGGAAGUCUUCAUUAUUAUCAAGUCUGUGGUUUGAUAUGUGAAGAUUUCUGGGAAAGGAAUAUGCCUCCUAGAAAAAGCGGUUGGAAAACAGUACAAAUUUCAUUUUGAUAGCUUGAGGGCUCAAAUUCUUCACUGUUAAGGAUGUUAAGACUAAAAAGUAGCGCGUGUUGGAUACUGUUCUUUAGAGCAAAAGAGUAAUUUUUCUCUGUGGUGAGUUUGCAUGUUCAUCUGGCUAAAAGCAGAAACACCCAGAUCUUUGAGAUCCCUUACACCUGUGUUAGGUUGCGAUUCUAAGUUUUAGUAGCUAUGUACAUAUGUAUGUAUGCACCUUUUAUUUUUAUUCUUAAAAUUUUUUUUAACUUUUUAUUUUAUUUGCUUUUCAGAUAGAGAGAGAGAGAGAGAGAGAGAGAGCAGGGGAAGGGCAGAGAGAGAGAGGGAGACCCAGAAUCCAAAGCAGGCUCCAGGCUCUGAGAUGUCAGCACAGAGCCCAACGUAGGGCUCAAACCCACAAACCGCGAGAUCAAGACUUGAGCUGAAGUCGGACGCUUAACUGACUUAGCCACCCAGGCCGCCCCUAUUUUUAUUUUUUAAACUUCAGUUUACACAAUCUGGCUUGCUUUGGAGUGAGAGGUGAUAAAACAGCAUUUUUUUUUAUAAUCGGAAACAGUGGACGAGAGCCUCAGUUUGUAAGAUUUUUAUUGUUCGUGAACUAGAUCGUGAACCUCUAGGAGAAGGGGUAAGACAUUAACAUAAUAUAGCAAGAUGUUUGCAAAAGGAAUCAGUACUUUGUAGCUAUAAGAAGCGCCCCAACUUUGAUUAUUAUUUUAAUUAGAUGUCUUAAAAGUGCAUUUGUUAUGAGAUUUUCUUUGGACAGUAUUUUAACUCUGAUUUUUUAUGUACGUCUUUUAAUUAGGGCAAAUGACUUUUUUCCCUUUGAGCUCCUGAAUCACUGUUUUGUAUGAUUUCAUUAUAGUGCAGGUUUCAAAAUCAGAACCAAACUAAAUACGGAAUAAGGAUUUGCCAGAUACUUCAGAUGGUGAAUGGCUGACUUUGGUCUAGGUUUUUGGCUGGAGUGGGUCAGUUCCAGUGAGGACACAUGUGGGCAAGACAGGGUCGAUGAUUAACUUUUAUUGUGAAGCACUAUUUUUGAAGUGAUAUGAAUGGAGCGGCUCUGGCAGCAUUACAUCACCUCUAAUUCAGUGGAUCUCACAGGAGAGGGGGGCUCAUGGUAAGGGCCCCAGGAUGCAUGUGGGGGCUUCAUACGACUGCUUUAAACUCCCCCCUCCCCCCAGAUUGUCUCCCUCUCCCUUGGGGAUCCUCCGUGGCAGUGAACUGUCGAUGCUAACAGUAGAGCUUUGCGUCCCUUAGAUGUGUUGGAACAAGAAAGAGGCUGAGAAUGGGUGACGAGUGCACUACAUUUUGUAUUAGAACUCAAGCUGAGUACAGAUGGGUUCCCAUCACAGUUGCCUUCCUUCGGUUUGACCAGUUGAGAUGUAACUGAGAAGGUUAUCCUUGUUAGGGGAAAAGAGGAGACAUACAGAUUCAGAGCUCAUAAAGCGUGGGAGUUAAAGGCUGCUUAUUAGAAUUUUUUGGAUAGUGUUUGCUUUUCACAACAAAAAUGGAGUACAGAAGCCCCUGUUGUUUCAGGUUUUGUGUCAUAAAAUGUGUUUGUCAAAGAACGAAAGAGUAACCAAGAGCUGAAGUAGAAAUUCUUCUGUAUUAGAGAUCAGUCCAAGCUAAUAAAAGAUGAGGCCCCAGAAUUAUAAUUAACUCCGUGGGAAAGGAAGACUUCUUUUUAUUUCCAUUUGAGGAACAUCAUUUCUAUAAGGGGAGGUGUGUAUGUAUACGCAUGACUAUAUAUAGACUUACCUUCUUGGUUUGUUUUAGACUUUGACUAAGUAUUUUGGAGGAAGAGUUGCAGUUUUGAAAUCAAGUGACUGGAUUCCAUUCCUUGGUGUGGGUCUUUCUCACCACAUGACUUUGUAAAUAACUUAAUCUUCCGGACCCUUAGCCUUUGCGUCUGUAAAAUGGCAAUAAUAUUACUUCACUACCUACCUCACAGGGUUGUUGUGAGGCUUAAAAAGAUAUUUGUAUACAUAGUAAAAUGCUAUAGAAGCCGACUAUGAACUAUUAAUUUUUAUAAGUUUUGUUAAAUUUUUUUUCUCUUUAGAAGCUAACUGUAAGUCAAUAUGGGCUAGACUGUUUUAUAUUUUUAUUUUUAAAGUGUAUUUAACCUUCUUAUCUCUGCAAUCUCUGCCAAAUACUCAGACAUUUUCAAGGUACAUUUUAAGCAGUGUAUAGCCUUUAGGUUUAAAGACGGUUUUAUUUUCAUUCUUAAUUGUUAGAAACAUCUUGACCAUCUGGUGCCACACGUUGUACCCAACACAUAUCUUCUACUUUGCACUGUAUUUAUGGCUUAUGUGAUAAUAGCAAUGAAUAUAGUCGAAGGAUUUUGUAGAAAGGAGGAAAUAUACUCAUGAUAUGUGAUUUUUCUUGACUAUGUCUUUGUAUUUUUAUUCUUCGUGAUUAAGUUACUUGUAAUUAGUGUUUAUGAAUAACGUGAUCUUAUGUUUAAUUUCCUUUGGCUUAUCAACAUGCUUUAUAAAGCAGUUUUUCUCUAAAAUUUUAUUAUUAUAUUUCAGAAUCUUUAAAUUUAAAGACUUGUAAUCUUCAGUUGAUUCUAGACUUCUGGAAAACUCGUAGAUAGUACAGUUUUCAUUUAUGUUCUUUAUCCUGCUUCCUCUGAUGCUGACAUCUUACUUAACUCUGCUAUAUUUGUCGAAAUCAAUUCAUUAACAUUGGUAUAAAAUACUGCUGACUAACUGCAGACGUUAUUUGGGUUUCUGUUUUUCUACUAACGUCCCCUUUCCGUUCCAGGACCCAGUCAAGGACAGCACAUUGCAUUUAGUCGCAUCUUCUUAGUCUCCUGUGAUCUGUGGUAGUUGCUCAGUCUUCCCUUGUUUCUCAUGAUCUGGGUGGCUUGUAGCAUGUCCCUGAAUUUGGGUUUGUCCGAUGGUUUCUCAAGAGUAGACUGGGUUCUUAGGCUUGGGCGCGAAUGCCACUCUCAUGGCAUCAUAAUAUCGUUGGUCACGUUAACCUGGAUCACCCCGUGAAGGUGUCUGCCAGGUUCCUCCACAAGUUAGCAGUUUUCCCUUUCCAUGCUGUAUUCUUUGAAGUGAAUCACUAAAUGGAACCCGCAUUUAAGGGGAGGGGAAUUCCUGUAGGAAUCUCCACCUCCAGGAGGAGGGAAUAUCUACAUGUAUUAUUUGGAGUUCUUCUGUUUGAAAGAUUUACCUCUUCUCUCCCAUUUAUUUAUGUCUCUGUGUGGAGUCAUAAAUUUUUAUUUUUUUCUUGGGUUGUAAUCUAAUAAUAUUGUUCUUUAUUUCGUUGCUCAGAUUGUUGCUGCUUUAGCCAUCGGAACUCUUUCAGUUGGCUUCUGGGCCCUUUUGACAUGCCUGCAUCUUUUUUUGUAUGGUUUUGCUUUUUGAGCAGUUUCUUAUUUUAAAGCAUCAUCCUUUAUUUUUCCUGUUGCGGUCCUGAGGUCAGCCGUUUCCCCGAGGAGCUCUGGUUCCUUUUAUUGGAGUAUGGUAUUUAGAAAUGAAGAUCUGGGCCCUGGAUGUUACUGUCAGGUGUCAUUCUUCCAUGCCCUUCAGUGAUAGAGUUAGAAAAUAUAGGUAUGUCUUUCAGCCCACGUGUAUGCACAGAUCUGCAAUUCCUUCUCUAUCGAUUGAUCGAUCGAUCAGUCUGUCUGCUUACCUACCUGUCUGUCUGUCUGUCUGUUGAAAAUAAACAUGAGUUCCGGUUGAUGUCUGCGGUCUAAUCCAGCACCACAAGUUUCAUCCAGCCUCCCUCCUCUGCUCACUGGCAGUGGGAAACCUGGCUCCCGUGACUGCAGUUCAUUGGCAUAUUCGUGCAGCUGGAGGAUACAUGUAAAGUGGUUUCAGAAGCACUAACCAGGACCCCUGGGAGGAAUAAAUUGGCCAGCUAGAGUACAGCAUUUAGGUACAGUUUGUUUUGUCUUUAGUCUCAGAGUGUCACAACAGAAUUUACCAGUCAGUUAGUUAGGUUACCGGUUUCCUCCAGCUUCUUCAGUGAGGUUAUAGCAUACAUUUGCAACAUAGCUAGAUUUAUUUAUUUGUUUGUUUGUUUGUUUAUUUUUGAGAGAAAGGGAGCAUGAGUGGGAGAGGGGCAGAGAGAGAGGGAGACACAGAAUUGGAAGCAGGCUCCAGGCUCUGAGUCCAAUGUGGGGCUUGAACUCACAGAUCAUGAGAUCAUGACCUGAGUGGAAGCUGGUUGCUUAACCAACUGAGCCACCCAGGCGCCCCAAGCUAGAUUCACUUAAUCUCAGUCUGCCUUCUGUCCUGGGAUUCCCCAGUGUCCUAGUUGAUUUUUUCAAGUUUACCUACCAUAAAGUUUACUUUUUGUGUUGUAUAGAUCUGUGAGUUUUGUGCAUUUUUUAAAAUGUCAAAUGCCCAUAAAAUAUUGGAGCCAUAGAUUGUGAUAUGGUUAUUCUCUGUUCCUUCCUUUUUGUUUUACCAUCUGAAAUUUAUACCUUUUCGGAAGAAGAGAAAGAUAAAAUGAAAAUUUUUACUUUAGUGUAUAAAAAAAUUUAGUUGCCUGACUCAUUGCAUGUUACCAUGCAUAUUACCUCAAAUCCUAAGGAGGAGUUUUGGUUACUUUAUAAAUUAACUCUCUUUUGAGUUAGAAAUGAUGAUGUAUUUAUCGUAAGUUGAAUGGCCAAAAAAAUAUUGUUUGCCUUAUGAUCCAAGAAUAUAUAUAAUUAUGCUAACUUUUCCUAUAAGCACAAGCAGCCCUGGAGAGGUUGCCUUUUGUAUUCAGAGCGGACAAAGCCUGUAGAAGCUAGGACAUGUAGCAACAACAGCUACUCGUUUUCAAGUCUUGCCUUGUGCCAGGCACAACAACCCAAGGAAGGGGUGGUGUUCAUUCCAUAUUUCACAAAUAAGGGGAGUAGGUAACUUGCUCCAAAUCACAGGAGCUGUUGAUUGUCGGAGGGCUUUACACCCAGGACUCUUGGAUCCCGGACUUUAAACUGUGCCCGUGGUGUCCAGACCUGGCUGCACAUCACUGUUACACAGGGAGCUUUUGAAAAUACCCGUACUCCUGCCCUUUUGGGUUAUAGGGCAAAUCAGAAUCUCUUGGGGUAGGACAUGAGCAUCGACAUCUUUACCCUCCAACGUGCUUCACACGGAGUGGGACCAGCGCAGUGCGCUUCGGACUAAGCCCGUGGGAGACACUAAGUAGGCUACGGUAUUCCCCUACCCCCGCCUUCCAGAUCGGUGUUCAUUAAUACAGUUAUCAUAGUUAAUUUUUUAUUUGCUUCAAUCAUCACCUGUCUGAUUGCAUUAGUAAAGUUACACGAACUUUUUUUUAUUACUUAUUUUUUAUUUUAUUUUUUUGAUAUUUAUUUUUGAGAGAGAGAAAGAGAGACAGAGUGUGAGCAGGGGAGGGGCAGAGAGAGAGGGAGACACAGAAUCCGAAGCAGACUCCAGGCUCCGAGCCGUCAGCACAGAGCCCGACGCGGGGCUGGAACCCACGGACCGUGAGAUCGUGACCUGAGCCGAAGAUGCUCCACCGACAGAGCCACCCAGGCACCCCCUUUGUUAAAAAUUUUUUUUAAUGACAAACUUUUUAAUUGAGUAAGUGGCAAGCCAAUGAACACAUACUGCUCACUUGCUUAUAAGUUUUCUGUUUUCUUAAAAGAAGCAUACUUACUUGAGGGAAGAUAGAAAUUUGUUCUGCGUUAUUUUUGACUGCGGUGAGCCAACUGAGUGAAACCGGAUGUAAGAUGAAAAAGAUCAAAGGAGAAAACUCAUCAGCUUGCAGUGGAGAACUGGAUCCCGUGAUGACAACGCAUCAGCAGCAGCAGCAGCAAGACUAGUAGCUGCCAUUAACUGAGUACUUGUUAUAUAUGGAGGCGGGUUGGUCAAGUAACUUGGUCGUCACCCAGUAUGGCAGAGCCAGGACGCGAACCCAGGGCUGGCUGUAAAGCUGUGCUCCUAAUCCUUACACUAUACUGCCUCCUGAAUUUGUAUUUUGUCCCGCCUUGCGCUUUGUGUAUUUUUUGACUUAGUGGCUAGCAUUUAAAAAAAUUACAAGAUGUUACAUGAAUAUCUGGAUUUUUUUGUUUUCCUUAAAGUCCUGGGAGGAGGUCUGUCGCCACUCGGCCUGCAUUCCCACGUGGUAGCAUCUGGCGGGUUCCAGCUGACCACAGUGCCCAUCAUUUCUUGUUCUCUUACCGUCACCUUUCCCUCGCUCACCCAUUGACAUCACCCACCUGGCCCCGUGGGCAUGUCAGUCUGUGACAUGGCCCCUGGUGUAGAAUCGUAGAAACUAACUUUUGAAGGCUAACACAAAGACUACAGUCGAUCCUUGAGCAACAUGGGGGUUAGGGGUGCUGACCCCUUGCACAGUCAAAAAUGCGUGUAUAACUUUUGACUCCCCAGAACUUAACUACUAAUAGCCUGUUGUUGACCAGAAGCCUUACUGAUAACCUAAACAAUUAACAUGUGUUUUGUAUGUUAGAUGUAUUAUGUACUGUAUUCUCACAAUAAAGAGAAAAGAAAAUGUUACUAAGAAGAUCAUAAGGAAAAGAAGAUACAUUUACAGUCCUGUACUGUAUUUAUCAAAAAUACUCUGCGUGUAAGUGAAGGCAUGCAGUUCAGACUCUGCUGUUCAAGGGUCAGCUGUAUUUUGAUCUUCUCCUUCGUUUUAUAAGACAAUGUGCCUUCUUUUGUUUUACUUCUAUAUUGAGUGUAUAUGCAAAGAGAUGAAGUUGCUGCUUAUCCUGCUCAGAGUACUGAAUCCUUUGGUUUGGAUCCUGUAGACUUUUUUUUGUGCUUAUAUAAAUGUAUGUCUUUGUUAUGUGAUACAGGUAAUUUUUAACAGGUUUUUAUUUAAAUCGCAGUUAGUUAACAUACGGCCUGAUAUGAGUUCCAGGUGUACAAUGUAGUGACUCAGCACUUCCAUAAACACCCCGUGCUCAUCACAAGUGCACUCCUUUUUUUUUUUAAUGAUAAUGCUGUAUUUAUUCUGUGACUGAUGGGUUGUCCCCCCUGCCCCCAUGUUGGUAUAGUUAGCUGUGCUUCAGUUCCAUUUAACAACUACAUGGUAUUCCAUCAUAUGAAUGUACCAUAGCCUAUUUAACCAUUUUACUGUCUUGUUUAAAUCCCACCCUCUUCCUCUGGCACCCAUCCACCUGUUCCCUGUGCCUCCCAGGACAGUUUUGUUUUGCUUUGUUUUUAGAUUCCACAUAUGAGUGAGAUCAUAUGGUGUUGGUCUUUGUCUGUGUGACUUACUUCACUCAGGAAAAUGUCUUCAGGGUUCACCCUUGUUGUCACAAAUGGCAGGAUUUCCUUCUUUUUUUGUGACUGAAUAAUAUUCCAUUUUGCAUAUAUAUAAAAUCUCACACUUCCUUUAUCCAUUCACCCACUGGUGGACACUUAGGUUGUUUCCAUAUCUUGGCUAUUGUACAUAGUGCUGCAGUGAACACCCUGGGGGCAGAUUCCUCUUCGUGUUAGUGUUUUCAUUUUCUUUGGAUAAAUACACAGAAGUGAAAUUUGCAGAUCAGAUGGUGGUAGGUCUAUUUUUAAUUUUUUGAGGAACAUCCGUAUACUGUUUUCCAUGGUGGCUGCAUCAAUUUACAUCCCCACCGACAGCGCACAAGCCUUCCCUUUCCUCCACAUCCUCGCCAACACUUGUUACUUCUUAUCCUUUUGAUAGUAGCCAUUCAAUAAGUGUGAGGUGAUAUCUUAUUGUGGUUUUGUUUUGCAUUUCCCUGAUGAUUAUAACCACGUCACUCUUAAGGGCCACUUAACUUUUAAUAGUGCAGCCAAGAGUAUUGUGUACAUUCCCCUUUAUAAACUUACUUCAUUGUUCUCGUAAGAAUGAUUAAUUGAAAUGGAAUUGUGAGCUCAUUGUGCAUGCACAUUUAAAUCUUUGAUAGACACUGCCAACUUGCCCUUCAAAAUGGCUUUAUUCGUGUUUACUUUGACAGUGGAGGAGAAAUCCCAUUAGUCCUCAGUUUUGCAACCAUGAUCAGUAAAAACUGUAAUUUCCUUUUAGUCUUUCAUUCUCCUCACUUUUAGUGACAUUGAGCCCGUUGUCAAGUUUAUAGGCCGCAUAUAUGUCUUCUUUGAAUUUUCUUUUUCCUCAUUUUAUUCAUUUUCUAUUUUUAUUAUUAUAAUCUUGAUCUGUUGGAGUUAUUUAUAUUUUAUGGAUAUUACUCAUUUUUUAUUAUGGCUAUACAUCUUUUUUUCAAGCUGUCUUUUAACUUGUGUAUGAUGUUUUUCCCUACACAGAAACUUAAAAUUUUUAUUAUAGCCUUCAUCACCUUAUUUUGUGUGUAGUCCAAGCUUAUAAAACAUUCUGUAUUUUUUCCUAAUUGUUUUUACAUAGUUCAGGAAAAUUUUGUUAAGAAAAAUACCAAACCCAUGUAAAACUAGACAGAAUAAUACUAUGAAUACCUUUGAAUCUGUAUCCCAGCACGGUGGUUAUUAACUCCUGGCCAGUACCUACUGCCACUCCACACUUCCUCCAUCAUUUUGAAGAAAAGCUCAGGGAUCAUCAUAUUUUAUACAUUUCUCUGAAGGAAGAGGGCCUGUUCUAGAAAUGUACCGCAGUCCCAUUGUCACACCUAAAAUGUAGCAUUAACUCCUAUGAUCAUCAAAGAUCAAGUUAAUGUUCAUAUUUUGAUUGUGUCAUAGUUAUCUUGGUUUUCUUUGAAAAACAUUUAACAUUUUAAAUCAUCAGUUUUCGAAUAUCCAUCACACAAGGUAACAGUUUGUUAUAUUUCUUAAGUGUAAGUCCCCCUCCCUUUUUUUUUGCCAUAUGUUUAUUGAACAACCUGGGCCUUUUACCCUGUGGAGUCUCCCACAGUCUGAAUUUUGGUAAAUGGACCUACAGGUGUCCUAUUAUGUGUUUCCUUUUUCUCUGUGUUCUGUGUAAAGUGACUCUAAGGUCUAGUGGCUUGAUCAGAUUCAGGAUUUCUUGAUUGAUUGGUUGAUUAAUGGCAUUAGUACUACUUCAUCGGGACACAUAGAAUGUAUGACUCUCUCUCUGAGACGUUCCCAUCCUUAGGGAACAGCCCUUUGGGGAUAUGCCCUCAAAUUACUGUGUUUGAAAGAUGCUUGAAUAAUUCUUCAUGGUUAUGCCACCAACUGGACAUGUAUUUAGAUUCUCUUCUUUUUUUGGCUAUAUAUUUAAAAUAACAGCUGUAUUGAGACAGAGUUCACAUACCAUGAUAUUCACCAUUUUGAAGUGUUCAGUUCAGGGGUUUUUACUGUAUUCAGGGCCGUGUAAUCAUCAGUGCCACGUAACCUGAGAACAUCUUCAGCAACCCUGCGCGAGGCCCACGACCAGUUCGCUGCCCUCCAGUCUUUCCACCCGCCACCUGCAGCCCUGAGCAACCCCUUACCUGUUUUCUGUCUCUUUAUAUUUGCCUAUUCUGGCCAUUCCUGUAAGUGGAAUCCUCUAGUGGUCUCUCAGGAUUGGCUUUUUUCACGCCACCCACGUUGUGGUUGUAUCAGUGCGCCAUUCGUCUGUGUGGCUGAAUAAUACCCACUCAAAUGUGGGUGUCCCACAUUUUCUUCACCCACUCAGAGAUCUCUUAUGUGUAUUUUUUAUUUUUAGGUUUUGCUUUUUAACCUUAAUUUUGCAAGAGUUAUGAGAAAUGCUUUGUUUUAAGAGAAAAAUCUAUGGAAUAAUAUAUUUUCAAGGAAAUCUGAUUUCUCUGAUAAAGGUAUUAUGCUUUAAGAUUAUGUUUUAUUCUUCCAUUUUCUAAUAUAAGCUGUGUAUGCAGUUUUCUUUAUUUAUAUAUAUGGCAAGUGUAUUUUUACCCCUUAAGGUUAUACUUACAUUAAUAUCUUUGUAUAAUAUACUUACUGCUCUCUCUCGCCCCAACAUUUUUUUUAACGUUUAUUUAUUUUAGAGAGAGACAGAGGGUGUGAGUGGGUGAGGGGCAGGGAGAGAGAAGGAGACACAAUCUGAAGCAGGCUCCAGGCUCUGUGCUGUCAGCACAGAGCCCGAUACAGAACUUGAACUCAUGAACCGGGAGAUCAUGUCCUGAGCUGAAGUCGGACACUUAACCUGAGCCACCCAGGUGCCCCAGCCCAACAUUUUUUUUGUUGUUAUUUGUGGGUUCUCAACUAUGAGGAUAUUGGAAUUACCCUUUUUUUUAAAGCCAGGUUUUCAUUUGAAGUAAUUUUUCUUUUACGUCCAGUGAAAUGCUAAGAAAUUGCAUAUGCCCGCCCCCCCCCCCCCCCGGCCCCCCAGAUUGUGAUCCUUGCGGUGUUUCAACAAUAUAGCCGUUACUGACCACACUUUCUCCCUUACAUUAUCCCCUCCUUUCAGUUCUGGGGGAGUAUGUGUGUGAGUUUCGAUAGACAGACAUAGAGAAGUAGACAGAGAUUGAGAUUUAGAUACAAAGUUUUUGGCUUUUUUAAAAAUUUUUGAGACUCACAUUUUGAUUUUUGUUAAUGGUCUCCCGAGUCAUUUUGUUCCAUAGUAGUCCUCAGUAAGGGUUCAGAAAAACAGCGUUUUCUGUGUUCUUGAAUUUUCCAAACAGUUUGUGGCAUUUACUCUUGCAAGUCUAUUUGGCUAUAAAAUCUUUGGCCUAUAUUUUCUUUCCUUGAAGAAGUUUGAUAUAUAUAUAAUGCUUUUGUCUUUUGGCCUGCAGCAUGGAGGUUGGGAAGUCUGAUGACAAUACAUUUUUGUUUCUACAUGUAA